UACGUAGGGUGCGAGCGUUGUCCGGAAUUACUGGGCGUAAAGCGCACGUAGGCGGAUAUUUAAGUCAGGGGUGAAAUCCCGGGGCUCAACCCCGGAACUGCCUUUGAUACUGGGUAUCUCGAGUCCGAGAGAGGUGAGUGGAAUUCCGAGUGUAGAGGUGAAAUUCGUAGAUAUUCGGAGGAACACCAGUGGCGAAGGCGGCUCACUGGCUCGGUACUGACGCUGAGGUGCGAAAGCGUGGGGAGCAAACAGG
rnacentral:rRNA from 1 species